ACUCCUACGGGAGGCAGCAGUGGGGAAUAUUGCACAAUGGGCGCAAGCCUGAUGCAGCCAUGCCGCGUGUAUGAAGAAGGCCUUCGGGUUGUAAAGUACUUUCAGCAGUGAGGAAGGUGGAGUCCGGUUUAAAUUAAGGCCGGGCCCCAUUUGACGUUAGCUGCAGAAGAAGCACCGGCUAACUCCGUGCCAGCAGCCGCGGUAAUACGGAGGGUGCGAGCGUUAAUCGGAAUUACUGGGCGUAAAGCGCAUGCAGGUGGUUUGUUAAGUCAGAUGUGAAAGCCCGGGGCUCAACCUCGGAA
rnacentral:rRNA from 1 species